UUUACAUCGCUGCAAACUACUUAUCAUAGCUUUUUGCCGGUCUCCGUCCAAUUUCUAAUAAUUAACCAAAAGUAUAAUUCCAAUAUAUUACAAAUAUGUCGGUUCAAACUAUUUUGUUGGAUUUUUCUAUGGAUGCUGCUCGUUUAGGGGAUGAAAGUGGACAGAAAGCUGUAUUUAGCCAGUUGGAGUCUGUGCUUAAGGAUUACGUACCCAAUCUGAUCUUAGCCGCUGAUAUUAAAAUAGAUGGAGGAUCAUUAAAAUUAUUGACAGGAAAGAAGGGUACGACUGUGACCGUGAGAUUAUUUGAUCGUGGUCUUGUCACAGUGAAUAUUGAAUAUUAUAAAGAAGACAACGAGGAACCAUUAAUCAGUUUCAAGUCGGCGAAAGUAUUGGAAAAUCAGCUGAGAAAGUACAUAACAGUCUUAAAAUCUCAAGCAUAUCCUGCUAUAAAACGAUGCCUAUUCGGCAGAUAUUAUCCAACGUCAGAUGAAAGAUUACUUGAAUAUGAUAUAGAUGGUGUGGUGUUUGAUGAGCAAUCAUCAUUCCAAAAGAUUCAAAUUGUUCACUCCAAGUCUUUUGGUAAUAUGCUGGUGCUUGAUGAUUUACAGAAUAUAUCGGAGGCUGAUCUUAUUUAUACAGAAACUUUGAUGCAACGAGGCAAAGAGAACUACGAGGGAAAGGAAAUCGUUAUUUUAGGGGGCGGCGAUGGAGCGCUACUGUACGAGCUUUUGAAAGAGAAACCAAAGUAUGUUUGGAUGUUGGAAAUAGACGAGCUUGUUAUGAAGGCUUGUAACAAACACCUCAAGUCUAUCUGUGGAGAUGUAUUGGAAAGAAGAAAGGGACCCAAUUUUGAGAUAAUCGUAGAAGAUUGCAUGUUGACCGUGAAGAAAUUCACAAGCGAGAAUAAAAAGGUCGACUACGUGUUCGGCGACCUCACCGACAUACCGAUAUCCGAUUCUGCGUGCGGAGAGCUGUGGGAGUUCAUGAUGACCAUCCUGCGGGCCUCUUUCGACAUACUGCGGCCCACCGGCAAGUUUAUGACGCACGGAAAUGGUGCGACGUCGCCCGAUUCGUUAAAGCUAUACGAAGAGGUAUUGGUUAAAAUGAAGCCGGCGGUGACGUUCUCGAAAUGCAAGGCCUUCGUCCCCUCCUUCCUGGAAGACUGGAUCUUUUAUCAAAUAGCGUUUAAAAAUCAAAACGGCGACGAUGAAUGACCAAAGAAUUAUAUUGUUCCUUUAAACUAAGCUACGUCAUAAGUUCCAAAUGCUAGAUCUAGUUGACCCUUGGUCAUGUAAUUGUAAUGUAAUUCAAAUAUACUAGGAAUCGAGAGAAGAAACAAAUUACUAAGAUUAUUAAUAAUAAAAAUGCUACGAACCCGACUGCGGUAUAUUUGUGUGCCCAAAAUAUGAAAUGCUCGUAACGCUAUGAUAGUUUAAUUGAAUUAAUAAAAUAUCAACGUUAUUGUGUUUAACUAUCUCCAUUUUGUGUUUCGUUUAAUAAUAACUUUUUGUUUUAUUAACAACAAGUACUUUUGCGAUUGUACCGCAGUCGGUUUCAUAAGUUAGGCUAUUGCCUCCCAUAUCGAUAAUAGUUUUCUAAACAUAGUUAAAACUUAAUACGCUUUACCUGACUACAUACUGUGUCAAUUUCGAUUCGAAUUUCGUAUUGAUCGAGCUAAACACUAUCUGUAUUGUAUGUACAAAAUAUGAUCCAAAGCGGCGGUUUCAAAUUUAACCCUUACCAUGUUGUAAGUAAAAAAUAAGUCUCGCAUUAACAUUUUCAAGUAUUAUAUUUAGACGGGUAUUAGUUUACGAUGUUAUCAAUAUUGAUUGUACAAAAAUAAAACAAUACAAUGCAACCGUGACAAUUUCAGUUAAAUUGAAAUCUUUAACAAAAUGUCUCGUCACAAUAUGAGGACCUACUAUCGUAUUAUAAGGAACAUUCACUAACGAUUACGUUUUUUUGUAUUGAAUGAGGUGAGCACGGGUGUGCUACGGAAUUUAAAAUAGUUUUAAUAUUUCAUUAUCAUUUAGAUUAUGUAUUCGUUUUGUGUUCAUUAUAUACUAAAUAUUUUAUAAAUGGUUUUAAUAAAAGUAACUUGCAUAAAAUCUUUAAAUAACUCGAGAGACAAAUAUCAUCGGAAUGUGAUGAUGGUGCAAAGGGAUUGAAUGUAGAAACGCCAAAAUAAAAACACGUGAUUUAUGGUUGUUCCCGUAAUAUGUGUUUUUUUAAUACUUAUUAUUUGUGAUUAUGGCAUUAGAAGUGUAAGGCUGCAUUUAUACAACGCAAAAAAUCUCAUGACUGUCCUCAGCAUCGACCGUUCCAGCAGUAAUUCCAAUAGGAAUUUGUUUCAUAAAUCAGCCUGGCGAUUUAAUCACAGAAGAUUUCACUUUUGCAAAAUUUUCACAUUGUGCAACUGCAGCCUAAAGAGAAUCACAACAAAGUAUUGUUUUUGUAUUAUUUUGGUAGUGGUGAGAUGUGUUACUAAUAGGAAGAACAAUUGUCUCGAUAGUAAUUGUCUUUCGCUUAUAAUAUUUCUUAAUGUGCUAUUAUUAUUGUGAAUAUUUUUAAAUACGACUAUAGUAAGUUGUGAUUUAAAAUGAUUUUUUUAAAAUCAAUAUAACAGAGUUACUUUUUAAUAUGACUGGGUUAUAUUUAUAGAUGAACGUAACAACUUUAACAAUAAAGUUGAUGCAACGAUCGCUCUUCAUCGAGCCUAGUUUCGAGUUUUUUUUACAUAAUUGAUAAUGUUGAAGUUAACUGGGAUAUGAAAACAGCGCCGUCUAGUGAAGACAACUGACAAUAAUUGGAAUGCCAUACAAAUUGCAAUUAAAGUCAACUCUAUCGAAUAAGUAAUAAAACUCCCACUAGGCUCGAUAUAAUUUGGUUAUUAUUAUUGACUAUUAACUUUCGUACAAUAUGCUAUUAAUUGAGUGACUAGUUGUUUUUGAAUUAUUUUUAGUGCACUGUGCAAGUUACUAUUAAGGCCAUUUAUCGAUUAUUCGUACUUGUUUCUUUGUUUUAUUAAUAAAGUAUUU